CGCCAUCAGAUAGAGUACUACACUGACGACAUGGUUCUACAAAACUACGAUUAGAUACCCUAUUAUUUUAAAUUUAAAUUUUAUUUCCUAAUUAGUAUUAGAUAAGUUCUUUAAAGUUAAAAAAUUUGGCGGUAUUUUAGUCUAUUCAGAGGAACCUGUCCCUUAAUUGAUAAUCCACGAUUUUAAUUACUUAAGAGAUUUGGCUUGUAUAUCGUCGUUUUAAAAUAAUUCUAUUAGGAUUUUAAAUUUUUUAUAUUUAUUAUUAUAAUUUAAAUCAGAUCAAGGUGCAGUUAUUUUUAAGUGGAGAUGGGUUACAAUAAAUUUAUUUAUUAUGAAUUAUUAUUUUAUAUUUAAUAUGAAGGUGGAUUUGAAAGUAAAAUUAUUUAAAUAUUUUUUUGAUUAUAGCUCUAAAAUAUGUACACAUCGCCCGUCGCUCUUAGACCAAGUCUCUGCUACCGUAAGUACUCUAUCUGAGCGGGCUGG
rnacentral:rRNA from 1 species